GCAAACUUGGUCAUUUAGAGGAAGUAAAAGUCGUAACAAGGUCUCCGUUGGUGAACCAGCGGAGGGAUCAUUACAGGGUCUCACGACUCUCAAACCCAACCGUGCUCUAAACUUUUCUUACUGCUGCGGCGGGCCGCUCGCUGGGGGAGCUAUGGCCUGUAUAGGUGGCCCGCCAAAGCAACAUUUUAAAACACUUUUUGAAAGCUAUUAAAACACUUUCUAUAAAGAAUCACAACUCAUAACAAUGGAUCUCUUGGCUCUGGCAUCGAUGAAGAACGCAGC
rnacentral:misc_RNA from 1 species